rnacentral:lncRNA from 1 species
GAACUUAAACAAUCAUUGACAUUCUGACCUCUGCAAAUUGUCCAUCUUAUUGAGAUUCAGAAGAGUCAGUAGCUAGAAACAUUUUGGCAAGAGGGAUCACAUGCUGUGUGCAGUCAAAGCUUCAGUGACUACUAUUUUCAUUUUCAUGGACUAUUGGACAUUCAUUGAAUCUAAUACUCAAGAUUCUACCAAGUUAAAGACCUGUAUGUGACCAGGAAGGGAAAAUAAACACAAAGUAUAUCCUAAAAGGAGGAGCAUGAGUACGGAAAACUUGAAGCUACCUUUAUUUUUGAAAACAGCAUCCUCAGAGCUCCUGCUAUGGCAACUCAAAUCUUGUGAAUGGUCUGCAAGAGAGCUCCUUGGUGAAGAGUGGCAUGCCCAAUACCAUGGGAGACUGUUCACUGAUUAUCUGCUGAACCCUGAAAGCAUAUUUGAAUUAGCCCUCAAAAUGUAUUGCACAGAAUAUGUGUUUCCUGUUCAUAAAAAGCUUUGAUAUCCAAGAGGGAACUACUACCUAUACCACAUAAUGAAACACUUUUGCCCAUUUUCUCCUCACUGGGCUCAUUCUACAACUUGCCUGAAUGAGUAAGGUACCCCACCAGAGCUGUGGGUUAGAGAAAGGAAGACAAAAAAAAAAAAAAGAAUAAGAGAAGUAGAAGAAUAGAUCAUGCUCUCAUACCUUUCCCUGUGAAUGAUGCUAAACCAUGGUUCUGAUGUGAGCCCAGAAUAAAAUAAAU